rnacentral:rRNA from 1 species
AACGAACGCUGGCGGCAUGCCUAACACAUGCAAGUCGAACGGAUGGUAGCAAUACCAUUAGUGGCGGACGGGUGAGUAACGCGUGGGUAUCUACCCUAAAGUUCGGGAUAACUGCGGGAAACUGCAGCUAAUACCGGAUGUGGCCUGAGGGCCAAAGGAGCAAUCCGCUUUAGGAGGAGCCCGCGUCCGAUUAGCUAGUUGGCGGGGUAACGGCCCACCAAGGCUUCGAUCGGUAGCNGGUCUGAGAGGACGACCAGCCACACUGGGACUGAGACACGGCCC